GAUUACUUUGAAAUCAAAUUGCGAAGGUUAAUCACAAAAGGCUUAAACCGCACUCUGAGUUGUCAUUUGAAAGUUUAAUCAACGAGAUGGCGACUCAAUAAGACUGAUCAAUCAGGUGUUGCGCGGGUUCGGCCAUUUUUUAUGACUGUGUUUCUUAUUUACUUAUUGUCUGGUUCAUUGUUUCAUUUCAAUAUUUGAUUGGUGAUUAACUUUAUUUAAUUUGGUGAUUAGUUUCUGGUAACAAUAAAGGAUUGAACAAAUUAUUGAAUGUGUGCCACUUUAGUAGCUUUCUUAGUUAAAUGUUUUAUUAACUCUGACAAGUCUAUCGUUAAAAUUUACUGGCUUUUACCCUCACCAUCAAGGAAUCAACUAAUGUCAUGUUAAUUCUUUAGUUUACGAAUUAAAAGAUUUAUGUUGAUUUAACCUCUUGGAUUGUGAUUUAGAAAGAGUUAACCUGGAAACAAGAAAAACAAAGUAAAGAUGGAAGCAAAGGAAAAUGGCAAAGUAUUGCAAGAAUUUUAAUUAAAAGGAAUCAGCUUAAAUUCAGUUAAGAUUGUGUCAAAUUAAGCUGUCUUCAUAAGAGGAUCAUGAUCAAGAUGAUGAUGUUGAUGAUGAGGAGGAACAAGAUGAAGAGUUAUGAGGUAACAACAGUAACAACAAAUGGAAACCUCAUCUUCAAUUGUCAACAGAAUAAUCAAUUAGAUUAAGAAAGAAACAUUGGAUGAAAUUAGUUUUGCUGUUCUCUUGAUUAAAUGAAUUUGAUUAAAUUCAAUUUACUGAUCUGAUUAAACUAUUUUACACUCUAAACAACCCAAAUGAAUUGAAUUAGUAAUGUGCAGAUGGUUAUUCCAUUCAUUCAAUCCACAAGAAACAAAUUGCUCAUUCCCCAAAUUAUUGUUUCAAGUGAAAAAUAAAAUCUAAAAGCAAAAACUGGUGAAUAUGAAUAGCUAAAAGCAUGAUCAAACUAGAGGAUAAUCUGACGAGAAUGAAAUCAAGCAGCAGAAUUGACUGGUAAAUCUUCAGCACUUGGAUUAAUCAUAAAGCUUGGCUAAAUAUUUGACCAGAAGCAUUAAUACAUCAAAGAUGAUAAUUCUGUCCUGGUAUCAAUCUUUUUCAUGGGCGAUUUUGAUGGAUAAGAGUGAUUACUGACCUUAAACAAAAGCAAAUUUCUGUCUGGCAACGGGCACAAUCAGAAUGUUACAUGAAACCAUUACUUUAACGCUUCAAUUUCGAUUCUCAGCCUGUUCAUAAAGAUUAUGUUGGAAAUGAAGUUUAUUUCUAAUACAGCCAGCCUCUUCAUUGUUAUAACUUGAUUCUAAUUGUGAUUCAUACAUAAUCAUUUAGUUCUUCUUUACAGACAACUACUCAAUCAGUAAUCACCAUUAUGAUUACCAUAACCACGCCUGGAGAGUCACUAUUAAGCUUUUUUGCUUUUCCUUAACUUGUGAUUUUGGUUGGAAACAAAAAUGCAAAAUAAAUCAAUGGACUGGAUUCAACUGUAUGAUUAUCAUUAUUACUAUUGAUGUUGUCAUUGUUGUUAACUGAUUACACUGAUUCUCAUGAAUCUCAAAAUAAACACUUGUGUCUUUAUUAAAGUAAAUGUUUAUUGCAAACAUUUAUUAACUUGCACAAGUUAAUCAUAAAAUGAAAGAUUGAUUGAUUUGUCUUCAUCAACAUAAAUUGAAAAUGAUUACACUCGCUGCCAAACCUUGUACCAAAUGAAGGCACAUUCAUGGAAUUGAUAAUUUUUGAUAAUUUCGUAAAUUUCGUUCUUUUUCGUGAGUUUAUCCGAAUAAUGUAUGGACUGAUUAUGUCUAUUGAGUUGUUCAGUCGACUAAUUAGUACAAUUGUAAUGUUAAAAUACAUGUAACUUGGGUUGAUCGAAGUGAAAUGCAAAUAGUAAAACUGAAAGAACAUUGGUAUAAAUUAAAACAACAAUUUAGAUCCUGGAAUUUGCUUCCUACUCACAAUUAACAGUUAGUUACUUGACUUUUCAAUUACUAUUCAAAUCCUUUUUUUGUGCCUUUACAAAAUCAUUCAAAUGGGUGAUAUAAUUAUUUGUAGUUAUGUCAAUUCAUUUCAAUUACUAAGGCACAAGA